UUAAUUGAAACCAAAAAAGAGGUAUGUCACUGUUAAUGAUAAAAUUGAAAACUAUCCAAUUAAA
rnacentral:tRNA from 1 species